CAGGGAAUGGUGCUGUUUGCUUUUAGGG
rnacentral:piRNA from 1 species